UACGUAGGGGGCAAGCGUUGUCCGGAUUUAUUGGGCGUAAAGAGCGUGUAGGCGGCCUGACAGGUCUGCUGUGAAAACUCGAGGCUCAACCUCGAGAUGUCGGCGGAAACCGUCUGGCUAGAGUCCGGAAGAGGAGAGUGGAAUUCCUGGUGUAGCGGUGAAAUGCGCAGAUAUCAGGAGGAACACCAAUUGCGAAGGCAGCUCGCUGGGACGUUACUGACGCUGAGACGCGAAAGCGUGGGGAGCAAACAGG
rnacentral:rRNA from 1 species